rnacentral:tRNA from 2 species
GCGGGUGUAGCUCAGUUGGUAGAGCUUCUGAUUUCCAAUCAGAAUGUCGCGUGUUCGAGUCACGUUACCCGCU